AUUUGAAUGUGUGUUGCUCCUUGUGGCAGGUAUACUGUUCCAAUGCCCUGGGAUCUCUGUAGUGGUCGGUACUGUAUUGAUUAUAAAUGGUGAAGUCCUAGUAUCUUGCUAGAGUGAGCUGGCCAGGAUGGUGGAGCUCUACCACCAUUUCACAGGUUAUAGACAGGGGCCACCAGGUUUCAGGAAAGCAGCAAUGACCCCUCAGUAAUAGUUGGAAAGUGUGAUAUGACACUGAGCUUCACUGUGUUGGUGAAGAAGAGCUGCAGUUUGCCUCCACCUCUGAAGAAGCACAAUACACCUUUCUGGGUUACCAAUGGGAUACUUCCCAACAGCUUUGUCAUCACAUACAAUAUUCUCAAACAAGAUCUUAAUGGCAUCUACUUUCUCCAGGAACACAGCCCCUGACCUGUGUGUGUUUGCGUAGAGAAGGCAUGCUAUGUACCCCCUAGGAUAUCAAGAUUCCUGUAGCAGAUUGAGCUCUGGCAGUUGAUCUCAGUGGCUUGAUAGAGUGUCAUUAUAAAAACGCACCUGGAAGAUUCUGUGGAAAAGACAACCUCAGAAGACCAAGGCUGACUUUGCAAGAGAGAGUCCGUUUACCACUUAGAACCGUGAACACCACCCCCGCCCUCAUUUAUCUCCAGACUUGAACUAGUGGUUAAAUCCCAACAUGUCCCAGAGAAGUCAAAAGCAUUGUAAAAUCUGGGAAUCUGCCCACCACUCAAGCCUGGGAAAGCUGGCAGAGGAUGCACGUGUUUUACUCACCUGAGUGUUUACAAUGCUCGUGAGGUGCCUCCCUGAUAUUUUUAUAGCAGAAUGGAGAAACACAACCAAGGAGAUACACCUAAGUAACAACAGCAAUGAUGUCAAAAAGAGUGCCUGAAUACUUAGGGUGGAGGUCCUGGACAUGCAAACCCAAGCUUCCUCUUUGCUGUGGCCAGGAAUCUGCAGUGAUUGAGAGCACAGACUGUAUCUAAAAUUCCACCUUUCAAAGUUCAGCAUAUUACUUUUUUUUUUCUUACACCUAUAAGUACAGAGGAAUGAAGAAGGAAUAAACAGACCUUCUGGAUAAUUGCAUCAGCCUUCCCCACUAUUCCAAUGCCAUGCUAACAUUUCAAGUAAUGUCCCUUUUGUCUUGCUGAGAAAAAAUCAUUUCAUGAUUUAUUACACUGGAUUAAAGGCUAUGCACAC
rnacentral:lncRNA from 1 species